rnacentral:rRNA from 1 species
GACAGAGGGUGCAAACGUUGUUCGGAAUUACUGGGCGUAAAGCGCGUGUAGGCUGUUCGGAAAGUCGGAUGUGAAAGCCCUGGGCUUAACCCAGGAAGUGCAUUCGAAACUCCCGAACUGGAGUCCUGGAGAGGAAGGCGGAAUUCUCGGUGUAGAGGUGAAAUUCGUAGAUAUCGAGAGGAACACCGGUGGCGAAGGCGGCCUUCUGGACAGUGACUGACGCUGAGACGCGAAAGCGUGGGGAGCAAACAGG